AGUGAACGCUGGCGGUAGGCCUAACACAUGCAAGUCGAACGGCAGCACAGUAAGAGCUUGCUCUUACGGGUGGCGAGUGGCGGACGGGUGAGGAAUACAUCGGAGUCUACUUUUUCGUGGGGGAUAACGUAGGGAAACUUACGCUAAUACCGCAUACGACCUACGGGUGAAAGCAGGGGAUCUUCGGACCUUGCGCGAUUGAAUGAGCCGAUGUCGGAUUAGCUAGUUGGCGGGGUAAAGGCCCACCAAGGCGACGAUCCGUAGCUGGUCUGAGAGGAUGAUCAGCCACACUGGAACUGAGACACGGUCCAGACUCCUACGGGAGGCAGCAGUGGGGAAUAUUGGACAAUGGGCGCAAGCCUGAUCCAGCCAUACCGCGUGGGUGAAGAAGGCCUUCGGGUUGCAAAGCCCUUUUGUUGGGAAAGAAAAGCAGCAGGUUAAUACCCCGCUGUUCUGACGGUACCCAAAGAAUAAGCACCGGCUAACUUCGU
rnacentral:rRNA from 1 species